GGCCCGCCAGAUUAUUACAAGUAAAAACUUAAAACUCAAAGGACUUGACGGUGUCCCACAUACAACCUAGAGGAGCCUGUCCUAUAAUCGAUGAUCCACGAAGGACCUCACCACCCUUUGCCCAACAACCUAUAUACCGCCGUCGAAAGUUCACCUUGUGAGAGAGAAAAAGUGAACAUAAUAGCUCAACACUAGCACGUCAGGUCAAGGUGUAGUUAAUAGGGUGGCCAGAGAUGGGCUACUUUUCCUAUGCAAGGAAAAACGAACGGUCAAAUGAAAACUAACCAGAAGGAGGAUUUAGUAGUAAAACAGGAUCAGAAAGCCUGCUUGAACACACUGCCCUGGGACGCGUACACCCCGCCCGUCCCCCCCAUCAA
rnacentral:rRNA from 1 species